rnacentral:rRNA from 1 species
AGAGUUUGAUCCUGGCUCAGACGAACGCUGGCGGCGUGCUUAACACAUGCAAGUCGAACGAUGAACCAUUUCGGUGGGGAUUAGUGGCGAACGGGUGAGUAACACGUGGGCAAUCUGCCCUGCACUCUGGGACAAGCCCUGGAAACGGGGUCUAAUACCGGAUAAUACCUACUCUCGCAUGGGGGUGGGUUCAAAGCUCCGGCGGUGCAGGAUGAGCCCGCGGCCUAUCAGCUUGUUGGUGAGGUAGUGGCUCACCAAGGCGACGACGGGUAGCCGGCCUGAGAGGGCGACCGGCCACACUGGGACUGAGACACGGCCCAGACUCCUACGGGAGGCAGCAGUGGGGAAUAUUGCACAAUGGGCGAAAGCCUGAUGCAGCGACGCCGCGUGAGGGAUGACGGCCUUCGGGUUGUAAACCUCUUUCAGCAGGGAAGAAGCGCAAGUGACGGUACCUGCAGAAGAAGCGCCGGCUAACUACGUGCCAGCAGCCGCGGUAAUACGUAGGGCGCAAGCGUUGUCCGGAAUUAUUGGGCGUAAAGAGCUCGUAGGCGGUCUGUCGCGUCGGAUGUGAAAGCCCGGGGCUUAACCCCGGGUCUGCAUUCGAUACGGGCAGACUAGAGUGUGGUAGGGGAGAUCGGAAUUCCUGGUGUAGCGGUGAAAUGCGCAGAUAUCAGGAGGAACACCGGUGGCGAAGGCGGAUCUCUGGGCCAUUACUGACGCUGAGGAGCGAAAGCGUGGGGAGCGAACAGGAUUAGAUACCCUGGUAGUCCACGCCGUAAACGGUGGGAACUAGGUGUUGGCGACAUUCCACGUCGUCGGUGCCGCAGCUAACGCAUUAAGUCCCCGCCUGGGGAGUACGGCCGCAAGGCUAAAACUCAAGGAAUUGACGG